UAUAUGCCAUCUGAAGCGUUUACGUAUGAAAGACAAGUGUUGUCACAAACCAUGAUGUGAUGCUUGUAUGAGUGUAUAUAUAUAUAUAAAUACAAAUGAUGACAUCUACUUUGUCUGUAUUAUUUGUGGUUCAACUAUAUAUAUUUAUAAAUCAGUUCAUCUUUAUCCACAGUGUAGUGCAGAAAUAGAGGUUAUUAUUCAUGACGUUUUUCGGACAAUUGUAAAUAAGAAAUUUAAAAUAAAAACUGUACUUUCGUCAUUACAAACCUACAUAGAUUGUGGAAUAUAAUAAUUUGGUGGUGAUAAUCUUCAUUUGUCGACAAUGAAUAAUUUUACCCGGCUUUGCGAGAGGUAAAACAUUUCAAUAACCUCAAAUUAUGGACAUUCAACAUUUCUUUAUGAUACUGAAGUUAGCAGACGCCUAAUAAUUUUUGGAUUUUUUUAAAAAUGAUAAAUUAUAGAAAAAAAGUAUUCGAAAAAAUUGCACCUAUGGUUUUUUUAAUUUUCUACAUGUGCGUAUUUUGAAUACAAAUAAAUGAGUUAUUUAUUCAUAAAUUUUAUAUAUACCAAAAAAAUAUGUUUGAAAAAAUAUUAAAUAAAUGUUUUAUUAUUACUACUUCAA